GUACUCACUUUGGUAGCAAUAUAUACUAAAAUUGGAACUAUACAGAGAUUAGCAUGGGCCCUUUGCAAAGAUGACACGUAAAA
rnacentral:snRNA from 1 species